rnacentral:tRNA from 1 species
UGUGCGGUGGUGAAAUUGGCAGCCACACCCUCUUGUCGCGAGGGCGAAGAGUCCGAAAUAAAUCUUGUUCAGUCCUUAAGCAGUCAGAAUACAGACUAAUCGCUUCGUGAAGGUUCGAAUCCUUCCCACACAG